rnacentral:rRNA from 1 species
CUGGCCCUAAACGAUGAGUGCUUGGUGUGGCGGGUAUCGAUCCCGCCGUGCCGGAGCUAACGCGUUAAGCACUCCGCCUGGGGAGUACGGUCGCAAGGCUGAAACCCAAAGGAAUUGACGGGGGCCCGCACAAGCGGUGGAGCAUGUGGUUCAAUUCGACGCAACGCGAAGAACCUUACCCAGGCUUGAACUGCAGUUGACCGACCAUGAAAGUGGUUUUCCGCAAGGACAACUGUAGAGGUGCUGCAUGGCUGUCGUCAGCUCGUGUCGUGAGAUGUUGGGUUAAGUCCCGCAACGAGCGCAACCCUCGUCCUCUGUUGCCAUCACAUUAUGGUGGGCACUCUGAGGAGACUGCCGGUGACAAACCG